rnacentral:rRNA from 1 species
ACACUCCUGCGGGAGGCAGCAGUGGGGAAUUUUGGACAAUGGGGGCAACCCUGAUCCAGCAAUGCCGCGUGAGUGAAGACGGCCUUCGGGUUGUAAAGCUCUUUUGUCAGGGAAGAAACGGUGGUGGCGAAUAACUACUACUAAUGACGGUACCUGAAGAAUAAGCACCGGCUAACUACGUGCCAGCAGCCGCGGUAAUACGUAGGGUGCAAGCGUUAAUCGGAAUUACUGGGCGUAAAGCGUGCGCAGGCGGUUGUGUAAGUCAGAUGUGAAAUCCCCGGGCUCAACCUGGGAAUUGCAUUUGAGACUGCACGGCUAGAGUGUGUCAGAGGGGGGUAGAAUUCCACGUGUAGCAGUGAAAUGCGUAGAUAUGUGGAGGAAUACCGAUGGCGAAGGCAGCCCCCUGGGAUAACACUGACGCUCAUGCACGAAAGCGUGGGGAGCAAACAGGAUUAGAAACCCCGGUAGUCCCAUGAU